rnacentral:lncRNA from 1 species
GGAUCAAGAAAGGUCCUUGGUUUCUUUAAGAAUUAAGAAAGAAAGAUAAAAAACGGAUUGAUUUCAAUCAAGAAUUGAGAAAAGAGGAUCAAGGGUUGAUCCUUAUCCAGGCUUGGUUCAAGCCUAUUCAGGCUUUGAGUUCAAGUGAGUUAUAUCAAGAGGAGCCUAUCCAGGUCAGCCCUGUGGAUACCCGUAGAGGCAAAACAUUUGUGCUGCUGAUUCAGAACCUGCUCAACCCUAGAUCUAGGGAUUGAAUUGGAUCAACCCCAGCUACAGGUUGAGACAAAAGAAAAGCGAUUCAGGUAUGCAACUUGAUCACAGGUUUUUAUUUAUUUCUACUAAAAUCAGUUUAUGUUAAUUUCAGCAUAUGAAUUAGAUCCAUAAGUUCUUUCAUAUGAUGAAUGCAUGCUCAGAUUAAAAUUGUUUUAAUCUGAUUUUUUGCUACAUUUUGGAUUUAGAAAACUUUUGAAAUCCACAUGCAUAGCAUCUAUAGAGAUUCCAACACUCUAUGCAUGGCUAGCAGUCUUCGUCUUCGGGGAAGGUAAAUUUUCAUUUUUAUUUUUAGAUCUUGUAUCUUUCUUUCAAGCAAGUAGAUAUUUGAAUAAUUGUAAUGUUCUUUUUUUUUCAUGAAUAAAGUGCAUUCUUUUUUUUUUCAAAUAUUAAUAUGAUAUGAGUCUUUGAAUAGUCUAUGACUACGUAGAGACAGAUCGUGAUCAAGCGAUAUGAUCUGUGCUCAGCGAGAUAGAUUAUGCUCGAGAAUUGAUCAUAGAUCUUUUGGCUUAAGAAAUGAAUGCUAGAUUUAUAAUUAAAAACAAUAAUUGAAAUCUCCAAAAUACGUUUUCUUCUAUUACUUUGAAUUUUCUAUUUUCAACCCUAACUUAAUUAGUUAUAAGUAAAAUUCCUUAAAACCUUAACUAACUCGAAUACAACUUAGCCCACGGUCCCCGUGGAUACGAUCCCAACUCAUUCUAUCUAUAUAGUUUGAGUUAGGUUUAUUUUUGACCGCCCACUACAGCGAUCAGCGGGCGCCAUCUUAGGUUUUGGCCUCACCGCCUCUCUCCAACGUUUGUUUGGGUUGAAAUUCAGGCUCGGGCCGGGCUUGGGCCAAAGAUAGGCCCGAGUCUGGCCUGAAAAAAAAUGGGCUUUGUAUUUAGGCCCAAGCCCAACCUGAAUUGUUUCGGACUGAACCAGAAGCCUGACCCGAAGCCGACCCAACCCGAUGGGCCUCGGACCGGCUCGAGCCCACUUCCAGCCAUAAAAGGAAUUCCAUUCAUUAAUGAGAUUCCAUCUUUUUAAAUAGAUGAGAAAUAAAUACAUAACGAAAGAAAUAAGAUCCCAUAUCUUUAAAUAGAUGAGAAACAAAUAUAUAAGGAAAGAAGUACAUACUUGGAAAGCAAGUACAUACCAUGUUUAGAGAUAUACUAAGUUUAGAGACAUACUCAAUAUAUCCUUCUUAUAUAAGGGCUUAUUAAAUAAGCAUAAGUCUAACAAUAAAAGUUCUGUUUUUUGAAAAGGUGGGGUGGACAGCUGUUAACUAUUACGAGUCUGCAACACAUCCUUUGUUUUGAUGGGCUUUGAUAGGGAGUUAGAGAUGAAUUGUGCUUCAUUGUUGGGGUGCAAUGUGGAAAAGUUUCCUUUAAAAUAUUAAGGAUCGCCUUGUGAUUAAACUUCAUAAAAAUGAUUGGAUACCAUGAUUGAUAAGAUGGAAAGGAGACUUGUUGGGUGGAAGGUUCAGACUUUCAAUUUGAGGUUGGCCGAUUUUGGUUAAUUCUAUACUAACAACACUGC